GACGAACGCUGGCGGCGUGCUUAACACAUGCAAGUCGAACGGAAAGGCCCUGCUUUUGUGGGGUGCUCGAGUGGCGAACGGGUGAGUAACACGUGAGUAACCUGCCCUUGACUUUGGGAUAACUUCAGGAAACUGGGGCUAAUACCGGAUAGGAGCUCCUGCUGCAUGGUGGGGGUUGGAAAGUUUCGGCGGUUGGGGAUGGACUCGCGGCUUAUCAGCUUGUUGGUGGGGUAGUGGCUUACCAAGGCUUUGACGGGUAGCCGGCCUGGGAGGGUGACCGGCCACAUUGGGACUGAGGUACGGCCCAGACUCCUACGGUAGGCAGCAGUGGGGAAUAUUGCACAAUGGGCGGAAGCCUGAUGCGGCAACGCCGCGUGCGGGAUGACGGCCUUCGGGUUGUAAACCGCUUUCGCCUGUGACGAAGCGGGAGUGACGGUAAUGGGUAAAGAAGCACCGGCUAACUACGUG
rnacentral:rRNA from 1 species